AGAAUUGAUCUGGUCAGGACGAACGCUGGCGGCGUGCCUAACACAGUGCAAGUCGAGCGGGGACAUUGCGACGGGACGAAGUACUCGUACGGAGUCAAAGAUGUAAUGUCUAGCGGCGGACGGGUGAGUAACGCGUGAGCAACCUGUCCCUUACAGGGGGAUAACACAGCGAAAGUUGUACUAAUACCGCAUGAGACCACAGUAUCACAUGGUGCAGGGGUCAAAGGAGCAAUCCGGUAAGGGGUGGGCUCGCGUCCGAUUAGAUAGUUGGUGAGGUAACGGCCCACCAAGUCGACGAUCGGUAGCCGACCUGAGAGGGUGAUCGGCCACAUUGGGACUGAGACACGGCCCAAACUCCUACGGGAGGCAGCAGUGGGGAAUAUUGGGCAAUGGGGGAAACCCUGACCCAGCAACGCCGCGUGAGGGAAGAAGGUUUUCGGAUCGUAAACCUCUGUCCCAGGUGAAGAGGAAGAGACGGUAGCCUGGGAGGAAGCCCCGGCUAACUACGUGCCAGCAGCAGC
rnacentral:rRNA from 1 species